rnacentral:rRNA from 1 species
CGGUCCAGACUCCUACGGGAGGCAGCAGUGGGGGAUAUUGCACAAUGGAGGAAACUCUGAUGCAGCAAUGCCGCGUGAGGGAAGACGGUCUUCGGAUUGUAAACCUCUGUCCUCAGGGACGAUAAUGACGGUACCUGAGGAGGAAGCUCCGGCUAACUACGUGCCAGCAGCCGCGGUAA